rnacentral:lncRNA from 1 species
CCGGCGCAGGAUCUGAGUCGCCGUCGAUGGAUUUCGCGUAGCCUGGCUUCUUUUUCUUUGGAUCCGGUGCGUGCGUGCAAGCUCUCUCUCUCUCUCUCUCUCUCUCUCUCUCUCUCUCUCUCUCGGUGCGUGCGUGCGUGCGCGCAUUGCACACCACUAGACCCAAACCCUAAACCAAAUCAGGGGAGCUCUCGUUGCCGGAUCGCUGGCCUAUCGUCCGGAUGUCCGCCGCGUCAGUUCCCCACAGCUACGGUGCCGCCAGCCACCGCCGUUCCAUUGCCUUGGAUUCGGCUGUGCUCGUGGGCUGGGAACCGUGCUCUGUUGUCUGAUGCGUCGUUGGAGCGGGAGGUUUGAUCGGUCGAGGCCAGGUAUGAGCAGCUCCUUUGCUGGCUGGAUGGAUGGAUGUAGGUCAUAUGUCGUGAACUAACACCACGACACCUCUUUUGGAACGGAGGGAGUAUGUAUGUACGUAUGGAUGUCAUGGUCAUGUUGCUUGGGGGUUCAACCUCUUUUUGCGUUAGGGUUCACUUCGUGUGUUCUUUCGCUCCAGGGGUCAUUUUUGUCAAUUUUGCCCCCCUCCCCAUUAUUUUUGCUAAAUGGCCCCUUCACAGGAGUAUGUAGCAGAGCAUCUACAGCCAUACAUGGAUCUGGAACCGGAGCGGAUACCCAUCCGGGUCCAGAUCUCGACCGACCCCUUCUCCCGCUGGUGACGAGCCCCUAGCUAGCUAGCUCGGACCAGCCCGGCUGCGAGAGGCCACCGGUGGCAUGGCUGCGUGCGGCGGCAAGGCCGCGUGUAAUGCGAGCGCUCUACUUGGAUCUGUCCGAAUCCUGGCGAGCCCUGUCUCCCGCUCGCCGUGGCCGCUGAUCGCGCUCGUCGGCUGGGGCCGCGUCCCUCCUCAUACGGCGGCGAUGAUGGAGGGAGCCGCCGGCGCCGGCCAGGCCCCCGACCGGCGGACGCGCCGGGCNNNNNNNNNNGUCCGCCGCGUCAGUUCCCCACAGCUAUGGUGCCGCCAGCUACCGUCGUUCCAUUGCCCUGGAUUCGGCUGUGCGCGUGGGCUGGGAACCGUUCCCUGUUGUCUGAUGCGUCGUUGGAGCGGGAAGUUUGGUCGGUCGAGGGCCAGGUAUGAGCAGCUCCUGAGCUGGAUGGAUGGAUGCAGGUCAUGUGUCGUGAACUAACACCACGACACCUCUUUUGGAACGGAGGGAGUAUAUUUUGGAACGGAGGGAGUAUGUAUGUACGUAUGGAUAUCAUGGUCAUGUUGCUUGGGGGUUCAACCUCUUUUUUGGAUAAAGAAGAGGGGCGAUGCCCAUAAUUAUGACUGGCUGAAAUAAUCAUGUCUUUGAGACAUCAAGACAGCCGUGGCAAGGUGGGACUAAAUAGUGUCUGAAAGUGGGUAUCUGCGUUGGAGUUGCUCUUAGAGCCCACCCUUACCUCUGUUGCAGCCUGUCCAAUUCAUCGCCAAUGUUGGAUGUUCUGUGCCUUGGACGGUUGUUCUGAUGAGGGCAUGUACAUUGGUUCAGUCGGAAACCAUCGGCAGCAUGCGGCCAUCUCAGUGAUAACCAGGGCUGUUCUCUUACAUUGUGAUGUGUGGAUUAUGCAGCAAGAGAUGUGGGUGUUGGGUUUGAAGAUUAAAUGCUAAACUGAGACCUCUCUUGCUAUGCUACAUAUACUCAGUUCAGUUGCAUUUUGUUCUGGAUUUGGCAUGGAUCCUCUUCACCUCCCCCCCCCUCUCUCUCUCUCACACACACACACACACACACUCACACU